CUAAAUAAAAAAAAAAAAAAAAAAAAAAAAAAGAGUCCAAACUGCAUUGUCGUCAAUUUUUCUGAAAAACAAAGAGUAAAGUGUGAAGAGAGAGAAAAGUAGGAAAGAGGAAAAGAGUAAAGUGUGAGAAAAAAGCAAAGAGAGAAGAGAGGAAAAAGAAGAAAGUUUAAGGAAAGAACAAAGAGAAAAAGAACAAAGUGUGGAAAAAGAACAAAGUAGGAAAAUAGCAAAGUGUGAGAAAAGAGGAAAAAGAACAAAGUGUGAAAAUAGCAAAGUAAGAGGAAAGAGGAAAAAGAACAAAGUGCUGCUUUACUCUUGUGUUUGUUUGUUUCAGAUGCUGAGAGAUCAAGCGGUGGACGUUCAUAGAGGAGAGAUGCUGAGAGAUCAAGCGGUGGACGUCCAGAGAGCAGAGAUGCUGAGAGAUCAAGUGGUGGACGUCCAGAGAGGAGAG
ensembl:lncRNA